UACCUGCAGCUCAAGUGGUGACCGCUAUUAUUGGGCCUAAAACGUUCGUAGCCGGUUUAGUAAAUGCCUGGGUAAAUCGUGUAGCUUAACUAUACGAAUUCCGGGUAGACUGUUAGACUUGAGACUGGGAGAGGCUAGAGGUACUCCUGGGGUAGAGGUGAAAUUCUGUAAUCCUAGGGGGACCACCAGUGGCGAAGGCGUCUAGCCAGAACGGGUCUGACGGUGAGGGACGAAGCCCUGGGGGCACAAACCGGAUUAGAUACCCGGGUAGUCCAGGGUGUAAACGCUGCUUGCUUGAUGUUAGCCGGGCUCCGAGCCCAGCUAGUGUCGGAGAGAAGUUGUAAGCAAGCUGCCUGGGAAGUACGGUGCAAGACUGAAACUUAAAGGAUUGGCGGGGGAGCACAGCAACGGGUGGAGCGUGCGGUUU
rnacentral:rRNA from 1 species